rnacentral:misc_RNA from 1 species
UCCGACUUGGAGUCGGCAGUCUCGCAUGAAAUAAGCAACAUACGAUGAGGGUUGCGCUCGUUUCCUGACUUAACAGUACACCUCAAGGCACGAGCUGACGACAACCAUGCAACACCUGUCUUCGGGUUCCUUACGGCACCCCUCCAUUUCUGGAGGAUUCCCGAGAUGUCAAGUCCUGGUAAGGUUUCUCGCUUACUAUCGAAUUGAACCACAUGCUCCACCGCUUGUGUAGGUCCCCGUCUAUUCCUUUGAGUUUUAGCCUUGCGGCCGUACUACUCAGGCGGGAUACUUAAUGCGUUAGCUUAGGCACCAGGGGGGUCGAAUCCCCUGAUACCGAGUAUCCAUCGUUUACAGCGUGGACUAC